rnacentral:rRNA from 1 species
AGCGAACGCUGGCGGCAGGCCUAACACAUGCAAGUCGAGCGGCCGUAGCAAUACGGCAGCGGCAGACGGGAGAGUAACACGUGGGAACGCGCCCUUCGGUUCGGGAUAACCCAGGGAAACUUGGGCUAAUACCGGAUACGCCCUUACGGGGAAAGAUUUAUUGCCGAAGGAACGGCCCGCGUCCGAUUAGCUAGUUGGUGAGGUAAUGGCUCACCAAGGCGACGAUCGGUAGCUGGUCUGAGAGGAUGACCAGCCUCACUGGGACUGAGACACGGCCCAGACUCCUACGGGAGGCAGCAGUGGGGAAUAUUGGACAAUGGGCGCAAGCCUGAUCCAGCCAUGCCGCGUGGGUGAUGAAGGCCCUAGGGUUGUAAAGCCCUUUCAGCGGGGAAGAUAAUGACGGUACCCGCAGAAGAAGCCCCGGCUAACUUCGUGCCAGCCGCCGCGGUAAUAC